UUUAGCUAUUUCAUUAAUGGAGCUUACGUAUCUAAACAACAACAACAGCAACAACAACAAUAUCAAGAACAGCAACAGUAGCGAAAACAACAACAGCAAAUAGCAACAUCAACAGUAACGGCAACAAGUAGACAACUGCAACAACAAAUAGGACAUUAAGAAGGAGCGAACAAACGUGUAUGCCAGAGUUCCGGGAGAAGUUUUAACCGGAUUAACAUGACAAUAUGCAAUUUCAGUGAGAGACGACUGCUAUUUCUAACAGAUCGAGGCAACCACGUCGAGGCGACAGCAUGUCUGUAUGAUACGUAAUGUGCUUGUCGACUACAUGGUUCCGGGUUCAAUCCCACAGCGUGUCUUCUACAAUGGCCACGGGACGACCAAAAGUGUUGUGAAUGGAUUUGGAAGAUGGAAACUGAUAGAA